rnacentral:rRNA from 1 species
UGGGGAAUUUUGCACAAUGGGGGAAACCCUGAUGCAGCGACGCCGCGUGAUUUAGAAGGCCUUCGGGUUGUAAAAAUCUUUUGUAUGGGAAGAAAAUGACAGUACCAUACGAAUAAGGACCGGCUAAUUACGUGCCAGCAGCCGCGGUAAUACGUAAGGUCCGAGCGUUGUCCGGAAUCAUUGGGCGUAAAGGGUACGUAGGCGGAUAAGCAAGUUAGGAGUGAAAUCCUAUAGCUCAACUAUAGUAAGCUUUUAAAACUGCUCAUCUUGAGAUAUGGAAGGGAAAGUGGAAUUCCUAGUGUAGCGGUGAAAUGCGCAGAUAUUAGGAGGAAUACCGGUGGCGAAGGCGACUUUCUGGCCAUAAUCUGACGCUGAGGUACGAAAGCGUGGGUAGCAAACAGG